ACUUCUCGAAACAGAAAACUAGUGCGCAACCGAUGCUGCAUGGAGAGAAAAUCUAAGCUCGAAUCCUUAUCUUCUGCAUCAUCUUCAGUGUUUCAUUUGUCCGAUCAAGUUUAUAAUAAAUGGCUUCGGGCUCAAGAUUCGUUGAAAAAGAAAUUAGUCGCUGAAGAUGAUUACACUUGGAAGUUGGGGGAUGCAGAAGAGAUCUGUGGUGUAGAAUUGUUGAAAUAUUUAGGUGGAGUUGAUAUAAGUUUUUCAAAGGUUGAUCCCUCUGUAGCUUGCGGAACCCUUGUUGUUUUGGAUUUCAAAACUCUUGAUGUGGUUUAUGAGGAUUCUUCUAUCGUUAAGAUCGAUGUUCCAUAUGUUCCUGGCUUUCUUGGCUUCAGAGAGGCACCAAUAUUUCUAGGACUUUUGGAGAAAAUGCGGAAUGGUUCUCAUCCUUUCUACCCUCAGUUGUUGAUGAUCGAUGGAAAUGGAAUACUUCAUCCUCGAGGGUUUGGCUCAGCUUGCCAUCUUGGGGUUGUGGCUAAUCUUCCUACAAUUGGCAUAGGGAAGAAUUUGCAUCACGUUGAUGGUCUUACAAAAUCCAGAGUAAGGGAACUCCUGGAAGCUGAAGAGAACGUCAACAUAGAUUUCACCUCUUUAAUUGGGGACUCGGGGAACAUUUUGGGAGUGGCACUACAUUCAAGUAAAGGAUCAUUUAAACCAAUAUAUGUUUCAAUUGGCCACCGUAUAUCUCUUGCUUCUGCUGUUGAUGUUGUUAAAAGAACAUGCAAAUACCGUGUGCCGGAGCCCAUUAGGCAGAUGGAGAUGAUCGAUGGGCAUAUAUGGAAGGUGUUGCAGAUGUUCUCACACACAAAAAGACGGUGGUUUCACCGUUGGAGGUGUAGGGGAAGGGUUACCUUGAAGUUGGGUCGAUGAGGGCCAUGGUUGCUAUGAUGUUGGUACAGGGGCGGGGUUGGUCGGAUAUGAGAUAGAGGUGGCCAAACGAGGCAAGUUAAGUGACACCCGGCUGACAUAAGAUCAAGAGACUAUCUUCAGAAGCAUCAUUGAAGCUACGAACUGCAUUCUGGUAGGCUUUUGAUGUCAUUACAUAAUAUUCUCUCUUCUAAUAAUAUUUUAUUAUGUACCUAAAUGGCUGUCGAAGACUCAAGAGGAGGGAAUAGAAAUACCAUGUUGAAAUUGAAUUUGAAAAGGAUAAAUCAGUUGUACAAGUCAAAAAAAGAAGCAGCAACAAUGUACUUUGGGUAAUACCAAAAGCAAAUUUUAUGUAUACAUGGCCAAUAACACCAUGGAUUUUCAAAGAAACAUAUGUUGUUAUAGUGCUGCAAAUUCUGCAGACUCGGACAUUAUGGAAAAAUGUAUAUAGCACAAAAGUGUCUGUGAUUUAGCUACUGAGAUAUGUAACUAUUACAUUCUUUAAAUAAUUAAAUGACACUUUUAUCCUCGAUAGUAGAGAU